UACGUAGGCAGCAAGCGUUGUUCGGAAUUACUGGGCGUAAAGAGUGUGUAGGCGGUGUUCUAAGUCUGUUGUGAAAUCUCCCGGCUUAACUGGGAGGGUGCGGCGGAAACUGGAAUGCUAGAGGAUGGGAGAGGUAAGCGGAAUUCCUGGUGUAGCGGUGAAAUGCGUAGAUAUACAGGAGGAACACCUGUGGUGUAGACAGCUUACUGGACCAUUUCUGACGCUGAGACACGAAAGCGUGGGUAGCAAACAGG
rnacentral:rRNA from 1 species